rnacentral:lncRNA from 1 species
CUUGCUUUUUACCAAAACGACUUUUUAUAAAACACAAAACUUUUCCACAGGGGAAAUGCAGAUUUAGCAUUAUGCAUUUUCGUUAACAGGUUUAACAGGAUGGCCUACUACAAAUGGUGAAUAAAAUGAGAGCAAACUUGGGAAAGCAACUGCAAAGGCUCUGUAUUGGGUGGAAGACCCUGGCACGGAGGAGACUACACCAGGGGACACAGAUAUGGGAGCAAAUGACUUCAAAAUAAUGUGGUAGGAGCUCUAACAGUGGUCAGCACCGGGCACCAGAGGAGCACUGAAGAGAUUGCCUAAUCCAUCCCAGAAGGGAUGGUAUUGGAGCUGAGCCUUGACAGACGAGUGAGAAUAAAGAAGGAGAUGUGGCAAGGUGGGAGACCUGGUCCUUGCCUCUAUGGACAUAGUCUAGUGGGG